rnacentral:rRNA from 1 species
AACGAACGCUGGCGGCAUGCCUAACACAUGCAAGUCGAACGAGACCUUCGGGUCUAGUGGCGCACGGGUGCGUAACGCGUGGGAAUCUGCCCUUGGGUUCGGAAUAACAGUUGGAAACGAUUGCUAAUACCGGAUGAUGACGUAAGUCCAAAGAUUUAUCGCCCAGGGAUGAGCCCGCGUAGGAUUAGCUAGUUGGUGGGGUAAAGGCCUACCAAGGCGACGAUCCUUAGCUGGUCUGAGAGGAUGAUCAGCCACACUGGGACUGAGACACGGCCCAGACUCCUACGGGAGGCAGCAGUGGGGAAUAUUGGACAAUGGGCGAAAGCCUGAUCCAGCAAUGCCGCGUGAGUGAUGAAGGCCUUAGGGUUGUAAAGCUCUUUUACCCGGGAUGAUAAUGACAGUACCGGGAGAAUAAGCCCCGGCUAACUCCGUG